CACGGGGGGAGCAAGCGUGGUUCGGAAUCACUGGGCGUAAAGGACGUGUAGGCGGUCAGGUAAGUGGGACGUGAAAUGCCUCGGCUCACCCGAGGAGCGGCGUCCCAUACUGCUUGGCUUGAGUACGGGAGAGGAUGUGGGAAUUCCUGGUGUAGCGGUGAAAUGCGUAGAUAUCAGGAGGAACACCGGUGGCGAAGGCGCACAUCUGGCCCGAUACUGACGCUGAGGCGCGAAAGCUAGGGGAGCAAACGGG
rnacentral:rRNA from 1 species